rnacentral:snRNA from 1 species
ACUGCUUCUCGGCCUUUUGGCUAAGAUCAAGUGUAGUAUCUGCUCUUAUCAGUUUAAAUACACAGAAAUGAGUAACAUAUAUACCCAAUUACAUAAGAAAUUCACCUAACUACCACACUGAUACCUGGGUUCAAGAUUGAAUCAAGGUUAUUUUACAUAUUAAUUCAUU